GUACAUAUCACCUGAGAAAGUUAUCCAAUAAAAUCAUAAAAGCUGUCAGAACCACUACUGAAACUAGAGAUUGGAUCGGCUUAGAUACAAAGGUACAAGCACAUGGAAAGCAUAAAUUUAGGCUGGACCACUGUCAAACAUAGAGCGUGGACUAGUUUAAUAUAAAAAAUACAAGUCAAUCAAAACCAUAAUCACAUGAAUAUGUCAAACCCACAACAAAUUUUGAAAUUACUUGCAAAUAAAAUCUUAGGCAU
rnacentral:misc_RNA from 1 species